UCCAACCAUCAACCGUAAGGGCUACAUUUUUAUUGGAUAUUUAGAUAUCUAAAAAUUGUGAUAGACACUGGUAGGUAUUUCAAAAAAGGCUUGGAAAGUACUACAAGGGGCCUAUCUGAAUGGUGUCUUAAUACCUAAAAAUCUGACCCUGAUGCUGAAACAGCAGAGUAUUAUAGGGAUGUCAGCAGUGGACUGCUAAUCUCCAGGUACAGACAAGAUGUUGUCAAGGCCAAGAAAGAGGUAUGCUUUGCAACUCAAGUCAUGCAGGAAGCAGUUCAGCCCAGAGGCCAUUGCUUCCCAACCAUUAGGUCUAUUUUUUUCCACUUUACCUUUGCAUAUGAUGUGGUGGAACCAUGUGUAGAUCUGCAUUGCAGUCACCUCAUUUGCAGCUCUUCUACACAUUAGCUAGCUCAGGGAUGGAGAAGAGUGUUGCUAUGCCAGCAAGGAACUGAGUUUGGGCCUUCCAUAAUGGAUUCCAGGAGGGCUUUGCAGCCUCAGUUGAAUUUACUAAUGUUUUGGCUACAGUGGUGCCUGAACUAGGUAGUUUGAAGCUGGCUUACUCUGUUUAUACAAGCUGCAGUCAUAGUGUAGGUCUAUGUUCUUCGCAUCGUAGAAAAGUAGGGCUCGAAGUGGCCUCUGGAAGACAUCUAGUCCAACCCUCUGCCUGAGGCAGGAUGGUCUCUAUCCAAGUCAUCCCAUACAAGUCCUAACCUAUUUCUAAAACCACACAAUCAACCCUGUCACACAGCCCAAAGAUAUCAAAAACACCCUAACCUGACACAGGUAAAGCAGGGGAACAAGGGCUGUCAUAUGUCUCACCAAUGCAAGGGUUCACCCACAUACACCAUCAUAAAGGUCUUUAUUGCAGCAUGCAGGUACAAAAUCUGCUAUGGACAGGGAAUACCACGUAUGGAAAUUCAGAAGUUGAAUGGAAGCCCAGUCUCUUGAAAAACUGGCUAUAACUCAGCAGGAACACAAAGGGCAAUAUAAUUGGCACAUCAGGGACCUGAUGCUGUUCAUUCUUGAACCAGCAUAAGAAAGAUCUGACCAAGGCUGAGCUGUUCAGAAAACGAGUGUUAAAGGGCACUGUGCUACUCUUACAUCUUGCUCCCAACAUGUACCAUAGAUUGACAAUGCUGCCAAAUUUGGCUCAACUUUUUCCCAAGAGGUUAGACAAGUUCUGAUAAUGGCCUCUAGUGCUAAUAAAUAAUGCUAGGCCCACCUCUUCUUUAGCAGUCUUUUUAUUCCAAGAAGCUGUUGCUGACUUCUUGUACCUCAAGGUAGCAAGAGUUACCAGUGCAACAAAGAAAUAGGAAUCACUGAGAAACAUAACACAUCACGUGGAUACAUCGUUUUUCUUCCAGGUACCAGGUUUUUCCCUUUUAAGAUGACGUCUUUGGAGUGAUCUGAAAUGGAAAUUAUUGGCUUAGUCAUGUUCAGUUUUCGUUGCAACUUUUCUUAGAUUAAUAAAGGCUGCAGGUUACACACACUGAGGACAAACAAGGCGUAGUUGUACUCUAUUUAAAUAAUAAUCACAUUUGCCUCUGUGCAUUCAAAGUGAUAAAUGGCUACUGGGUGGUGAUGGCUCAGCACAUUACUGAGAAUCAUUCAUCACUUAGUUCACUCCCAGGCAAAUACGAUUAGAGGAGUUUUACUCCAUUUGCAAAAAACCCCCCAAAAUGAUGCUGCUUUCCACUGUGGCCUUGUUUUCUUUUGUGGCCAGCAUAGGCCCACCACAUGUGAGAGAGUUCCCUUCCAUCUUUCAUAAUGGUUUGUUAUUGUUUCAGGAGGGUGAGGAUGUAGAAGUGCUUUGUAUUAUUAGAAUGAUAACUUCAAUAGAUGGCCUGACUCAAAUUCCCCAAAUAAGCAGGGUGGUCCAGAGGCAGAGAUCUGGAUCUGGGAGUCAGGAGACCCAGGUGUUAUUCCUGUCUCUGCCAUUGACUUGCUAGGGCAAGUCAUGCAAAGCUGAUUGACAUUUAGCACCAGUUUGAGUAGAGAAAGCAUUGUUUGUAUAUUGACUUUGGCUAUUGCAAUUACUGCACUGGGAAAUUGCCUGUGCCCACCUACCAGAUAACAAUAGGCAGUACAAUUGGCCCAGCUUGUACCAGUUAAAUCCAUGGAGAAAGCUAGUGUGUGGAAGAAUGAAUUUUAGGAUAGUGACUUACUCAGAAAUAUGAAUUACAUUUAUACUAGGCUCAUGCAUACAACAAGCCCUGUUUAACAUUAGAAGGUCAUCUCCAUAAAUAUGGCCAAGACUUCAGCUGGUAUGGAUAGCUGUAGCCCCACUGACUUCAUUGGAGCUUUGGGUAGUAUUUUCAAAAGCACCUUAGUGAAUUAGGCUCAUCUGUUCCACUCAAAAUCAAUGAGAUCUAGGCUCUAUUUAUUUAUUUAUUUAUUUUUCACUCUUAACCUGUGACCAUUUCUACCAGUGGGAGAUAUGCCCCAUCAAGAAUCAGAAUGUACAGUUUGGAGCACUGCUACCAAAUGAGUUAUGCUACCUUUGUUGCUUUCUAGACUUCAGGUUUUUCCUGAACAGUAGUCAAAACUGAAAAAAUGGAAUUUAGCUGGCAGUGGGCAUGCCUACAUAUCCAUUAAUGUGGUAUAGGUACUGUGCACUAUAGUACCUGUAAUAACAGGUACUAACUGAAUGCACAGUAACCAGCACUACUGUGCAGUAGUGCUGCCACACCAUUUCAGUGUUGCUAAUGCACAGUACACUAAUUCUGCUGUGCAUUAGCACAGUAGUACAGCUUUUGCUGUGACGUGCUAAUGCACAGUAGAAUUAGUCUACUGCACAAUCAGCUUCUCAUGUAGAUGCACCCAGAGUCAUCUAAAACCACUUAGCUGCCAUCUUAGAUCUGUACUAGUGGAGAAUUUCAGCAAAGAAGGAAAAGUUGCACAUCUUUCAUCGAGAGAAAAAAUAGAAGAGGAAAGGAUAUACUACGAACAGUCUGCCAAUUUUCUCUUCAAAACGGUGAGCUGUUUGUUAACAGGAUCCAUGCAUUUAAAUUACUUCUGGGCAUUUUUGUGAUGAGACUGAUUUACUCAAGCAAUCCCCAUCAUAGCCUUGACUCUUACCUAUGUUGAACCUGGUAUAGUCAAUAAUGUGUGCAAAGUGAGUGUCAAAUCUGACCUGAAAUUCUGCUCUGGUUUAUGCUUUUGGGAGUGCAUUAGAGGUAUUGGGCACUGUCAUGGGACGGGGUCCUGUAGGAUGGCUGUGAUCUUCCCAAGGCCCCCUUACCAUGCCAAAUUGGCCCAAUGGGCACCCUUGAUUCUUGCCCGCCAUGUCUUUGAUUGAAUGAUUGAUAGGGAGGUUACCUCUAAGUCCUCUUGGACACAGUUGAGAUUGGUUCUCAGGACCUCAUGGGUCCCUGGACCCCUGGUGGGUCCCGCUCCAAGACGGAUGUCACAAUCGGUGUUUCGGGGCACCCUAGCCUUAUGGGCUAUGCGUGGCUCCAACCACCCCUUUACCAUGCCCCAAGCCUCACAGAUGGAACUGAUGUUGUUCUGUCUGGGCCUUGUUAUAAUUUGGCUCCCUGGUCCUCCCUGGGCUCUCCGCAGCCCUGUCUCGCACUGCGCCUUCACUGGUGCUUAGGGGUCGGUGCACCCCGAAAUGCUGCGCCCUCUCUGGUGCCGGGGUCCCCAUGCUGCCAUGGGUCCCCUAUGAGACCUCCUCCAUCUCCUAUUAGCCUCAUCCAAACCACCUGUCUUAAACAGCAAACAAAACACAAGUCCCUGGGCUAUAACAUAAAUUCAAGCUGCCCAGCUACAGCAUCAUUCAAGCCACACCAGGGGUGCUCUGUCCCUCACCAGUAUCAGAGGCUGUACCUGCAGUCAGGCCUCUCCCCUUUGGUUGCUCUGGGAGAGCUCCUUCCCCCUUGGCUGCUGGGAGGGAACUGCCUUCCUGGCCUCAGCCCUGGGAUUUAUAUGUGAGCCAGGCCCUGCCCUUUCCGGUCAGCUGACUGCUGGCAAGUGUGGGCCACUAGCUCACUCUGGUUGCCCUAGUAACCAGCAGCUGGGGCUCCCCACUUACUACUAGGGCUCUUUCCCUAGCAGUUUCCACUCUUCAAAGGAGCAGGGCGCCUAAGUGCUCUGCGACAGGCAUCAUCCAUGUUUUUCAGAUGCUGACACAACAAAGGAUCAGGUCCUACAUCACUGUCCCCUCACAAUCCAGAAGUGAGCAGUUUGUAAUCCUCUUGCUUAAUGCAAGCAAAAACGGCAUUCAUUUUUAUAAAUACCUAGCUUAUGUACUGCAUGCUGCACUGGUUCCAUUAAACAGGCUGCAUUCUGACAUUCCCCUGAACACUGUCAGUCAAUGCCGGUUAUCAAAAUCUGUACACAAAACUGUGAGAAGGUUAUGGAGCUGCCUUCAAAACAACAUUACAACCAAUGUGUAAGGCUCUCUGUGCGACUUAAAUCUUAGCAUAAAAUUGAAAAUCAAGAAAAGUACAGAGUGAAGUUUGUUCGUACUAUGAGCAAUCAGGAGUCAUACAUAAUGUAAGAGCGCAGCUGAUAAUAGCAGGAUUCAUAAGAACACUUCAGCUUGCUCUUCUGGACAGGAAGAAGUCAUGUUUUAAGUGGGCCAUGAUGAAAUCCACUUUGGUCAUAAGUAUUCACUGGAAGAGUGUGUCAGUUACCCAUCACUUGCUCUGCUUAGCAUUGGACAACUCUUAAUUUUUUACCUAAAGAAUCAUUUGUGAUUCACGUAAGCACGUGAAUUUGUGCUUUCAGUAUAUUAUUUAAUUAUGCUGUUCUCCAUGUCCUUAAAAAACCUACAAAACUCCAUAGAAAGCCAAAACCCAUUUAUACAACUUUCUGUGGAAACACAGCUUGUAGCAUGGGCACUGACUUCAUGGGUGCUCCGGGGCUCAAGCACCUAUAGAAAAAAUCAGCAGGUGUUUAUUUUCUUUUUUUUAAAGUGCUGUACUGGAAGCGGCUCUGCAGUGUCUAUAAAGAUCAGGCACUUCAGCAGGGCCUUUUGGCACUUUUAGCUAAAGCUGAGUCAAUUGGCUAUUAGAUAAAAGCACCAAAAAAAGCCCCACUAAAGCACCCGAUCUUUACAUAAGUUGGGUAAGAUGCAUUGAAGUAAUGUGCUGUCUUCUGGGCAUGCAUGGGGCUCAGCAUGGGAACACGCCAAGUUUAAAGCAAAGCACCACUUUUUGGGGGUGGGGUUUAUGUCCGCAAGUACCCACCAGCAAAAACCAAAGUUGGCACCUACCUAUGGCUUGUGGAUUAGGCUAAAUAUCUGCUCUUUCAUCCAUAUGAAGUUUACGAGAUGAAACCUUGUCAUUUUGAGGUCUAUGACCAACCUUCCAUUGACUUUAAUGGGACCAGGAUUUCACACACAGAAUUUAUUACAAGAAUUUAACCUUCAUACGUUCCCAUGGGGUAACCAGAUGCAUAUUUUGUGCAGUAUCUUAAAGUUAAUUAAUUCUAAAAAUUUUUCUUUUUAGGAUGUUGUCACUGGCACUGAAGUGCACAAUAUCCCCAACAAACAGCCAGCUUACAUGAAUGGUUUGCUCUCUGUGGAUGAAAAACUGCCCAGGGUAACAUGUUACCCCAGGCGUGAAUGUGUUUUUCCAUAUGGGGUAACAGCUUACCACAAGCCCAUGUUAACACAUUGGGGGAACUUGUUACCCCAAUACAAUUUCUGUAUAAAUGACAGGCCUAGACCUGUUUGGACACUUUGGGUGGAUGCAUCUGAAAAGUAGGCAUUCAUUCACACCUCAUUCAUGUCCACUUCAGGUAUCCAUGGUAACUAAAGGAUGGUCAUUCUCCACUCUGCUUGUGCAGAAGAUGUGGUAAUCCCUUUUGCUAACCAUUUUGUUUGCAGGCUGCAAGGUCAUCAAAACACCCUACCCUUUGCCAAAAAAUCUGCCCCCCCAACCCCCCCCAAAUAAACCCUUUGUCACACACAAAUCCAGCUCUGCUCUCUUUUCUCAUGGCAAAACUCCGCCUCACCUGCCCCUUUCAUAACAUACAAGUUAGUUUGCCCUGCCUUUGUUGGAAGUGAGGACAAGGAGCAAAGGGACAGCAGAGGAGAAAUAGAACAACAUCAUACGGCAAUACAGCGUACACUAUGGAGUCCCCUUCAACGUCCAGGAUGAGAAGGCAGUGCAUAUUCAGUGCUGGAGCCUGUCUUGCACAGGUAACCAGGGAUGACAGCAACACAUCCACUGAUGAAAUUUUAUUCCAAGGCAAUAAGGAUGCUGACUUUAUUCCAGACAUGGGAGAUUGUUCAGAGCAAGAAGACCAUGUGUCUGUGGAAGCUUCAUCCAGCUCAGAUGAGAAGGAGUUGGUGCCACAAGCACAAGUGAUGUCAACACUUCCAGUGGGAAAGGGAAGAGGACCAGCCUGGGGCUGCUAUGGAAGACUGAAGACAGCUACAGCAGGAUGUGGAACAGAACCACUGCAACCACCCCCAGAAAACAUUGCAGAUGAUGACAGCUUUAGAAGAAGAAAUGGCGGAGCGUGGGGGAAAAAGUCCACAGCUGAUACAUCAUCAGAGAACAGCAAAAGACAUAGUCCAUGAAAGUGCUGGGCCAACAAGAGAAAGUAAUAAGGACACAAUGGUGGAAAUGUUCCACCUUUUUCUCUCACAAGAUACCUGACUGUUAUCAUAAGAGAAACAAACAGAGUGGCAGAAAGAAGAUUCAGGGAGUGGAAUAAUAGCCAUCCUGAAAAUAGAAAGGAGUGGAAAAAGCUGGAUGAAACAGAGCUGAAAGCCUACAUUGAUUAAUACCACAGUGGUCAUGAAGCACUGGAGGAGUUGUGGAAGCAACGUGCUGGGUGUCUUUGCUACUAUGCCACUAUGAGUAUAAAACAAUUCUGUCAAAUCACCAACUUCCUGAGAUUUGACAACAAACUGACAUGUGAGGAAAGGAGAGCCGCGGACAAGCUUGCUGCCUUCAGAGAUAUUUGGACACAAUUUAUGAAGCAGCUCAGCAAAUGGUAUAUUCCAGGAAUACACCUGAUGGUUGAUGAGUAGCUCAUUGCAUUCAGGGGUUGCUGUCCCUUCAGACAGUGUAUGCCCAGCAAGCCUGCCAAAUAUGGCUUGAAAAUUUGAUGGUGCUGUGAUACAGCAACAUCAUUCCCCCUGUUUGGAGACAUCUACCUGGGCAAGCAACCAGAAGCUCCACGCCAAGGUAAUCUUGGUACCCAGGUCAUUGAGAAACUGGUUCAUCCAUGAUACAAGACAGUAGGAAUAUUGUGGGUGACAAUUUCUUCACAAGUCCUGACCUGGCAAAAAGACCGCUACAGCAGGACUCGACCUAUGUGGGUACAGUUCGGAAAAACAAGGCCGAUAUCCCAAACAACGUGCAAGCAAAUCAUAGAAAGGAAACAUUUUCAUUCAUUUUUGCUUUUGAUGGGGAACUCAACCUAGUUUUCUAUGUUCCAAAGAAGUCCUAAGAUGUGCUGUUGCUGUCAAGCAUGCAUCAUGACCUAUCAGUGGAUGGAAAGCAAAGCUAAAUAUGAUCCAUGGUGACAAUAAAAACAAGGGUGGAGUGGAUAACCUUGACCACUUAGCCCAUAUGACCAUCUACAGGUGGAAAAUCAACAGGUGGCCAAUGACAUUUUUUCAAUAUGCUGGAUGUGGCUGCCAUUGCCAGCCUUAUCAUUUGGCUAGGCCACAACACAAACUGGAAGCAAAGAUCAGAUUUAAGAAGACGGUGCUUUUUUUUGCAGGAGGUUGGAGAACAGCUGAUUGAUGGACAAAUAAAAUGAAGAAUGAUGGAUAUAUGUAAUCUGUCUAAGUCCAUCAAGUCUGAUAUGACUGCCCUAAAUUACAAAUUGCCUCAAUGCACCCCAGUAGAACCUUUUGCAAGCAUGAGUGGAUGUUGUGUUUUUUGUCUGCAAAACCUGAAAAUGAUGCGAAGAUUGUAAGCGAUUUGCUUGUUCAUACCACAGUACAUCACUGCUGCUCUGUGAGGAAUGCAAUAUUUAGUUAAAAGUUAGAAAAUGUUUUUAGAAGCAAUUGUUAGUUUGAAAACAGAGUGAACUGCAGACUUAGCAAAUUGUUCAUUCAUGUUUUGAAACUCUAAAAACCAGUUUAAAUUUUGUUCCUAGUUCUCGUUAAAUAAUAUUUUGGGUUCAAAUCAUCAUAAAUAUUCUUUCAAACAAUCUGUAUGUUUAAUAAAUAGUUUUUGGUACAUUUA